AUACGGAGGAUCCGAGCGUUAUCCGGAUUUAUUGGGUUUAAAGGGAGCGUAGGCGGACGCUUAAGUCAGUUGUGAAAGUUUGCGGCUCAACCGUAAAAUUGCAGUUGAUACUGGGUGUCUUGAGUACAGUAGAGGCAGGCGGAAAUCGUGGGGUUGCGGUGAAAUGCUUAGAUAUCACGAAGAACUCCGAUUGCGAAGGCAGCCUGCUGGACUGUAACUGACGCUGAUGCUCGAAAGUGUGGGUAUCAAACAGGAUUAGAUACCCUGGUAGUCCACACAGUAAACGAUGAAUACUCGCUGUUUGCGAUAUACAGUAAGCGGCCAAGCGAAAGCGUUAAGUAUUCCACCUGGGGAGUACGCCGGCAACGGUGAAACUCAAAGGAAUCGACGGGG
rnacentral:rRNA from 1 species